GGUAAACAGCGUUUCCGUGCGCUGCUCUGGUUCGCCAGAAGCGGCUUAGUCAUGCUGGCCACAUGAUCCGGAAGCUGUACGCCGGCUCCCUCAGCCAAUAAAGCGAGAUGAGAGCCGCAACCCCAGAGUCAUCCGCAACUGGACCUAAUGGUCAGGAGUCCCUUUACCUUUAUCCUAUCACAUCUCAAUCUUCUCUUCAGGCUGAACAUACCCAAUUCCCUCAACUGUCCCUCAUAUUGCCUGGUUUCUAGACCCUUAUAUCUUGGUUGCCCUCUUCUGCACAUGUUCCAGCAGUAUCCUCCUGAAAAUGUGGUUCCCACAACUGGACACAGGACUCCAGGUGUGAUCUGACCAAGGCAUGAUAGAGCAGGACUAUUAUUUCCCUUGAUCUGGACGCUACACUUCUGUUGAUGUAGCCUAGAAUCACACUAGCUUUUUUUUUGUUGCACUGUUGACUCACCUAAACCUGUGGCCCACCAAGACCCCAAGAUCCUUUGACAUGCUCCGCUGUCAAGCCAGGUGUCCCCCAUUUUAUAUCUGUGCAGCUGGUUCUUCCUGCUCAAGUCUCCUGGAAGCUGCACAUGCGGCAAGGGAACCUUUGAACAUCACAACCCCUGCAUGUGAAGUCAGCAAGGCAAAGUAAGCACUUUCUCGUGGAGUCUAUAAUGUCUCAUCUUUUCCACUACAGUGGUACCUCGGGUUACAAACACUUUGGGUUACAGACUCCGCAAACCCGGAAGUAGUACCUCGGGUUAAGAACUUUGCCCCAGGAUGAGAACAGAAAUCGUGGGGUGGCAGUGGGAGGCCCCAUUAGUGAAAAUGCGCCUCAGGUUAAGAACGGUUUCAGGUUAAGAACUAACCUCCGGAACGAAUUAAGUUUUUAAUCAGAGGUACCACUGUACUUCCUAAAAGAUGUAAACCGUGCCGCAGACUGCAACAAGCAUAAAGGAAUGCGCUUCUGUCCGUUGUUUACUUUCUCACUCAUUAAAAAAAGUAGGGGAGAAAGGACCGUAAGAAAGACUGUUAACUAUGUUUAUGAGAAAAGCGUUGUCCAAGACAACACCGGUAAAACUCAUUGUUCCUAGUCAAAUCUCACAUAUUACAACCAGGGCAAGUCCUCAGAUACAUCAUUUGACUCCCUGUUCAGUUAUGGAUCCAGAUAAUGUUCGUCAGUGUUUCUCACAAUAAACCUUGAAGACCUUUGUGUCAAGAGACAAAUUGCCACCCGCCCUGCGGAAGUCCAAGCUACCAGGUGUUGGGCGAAAGGAAACUCUUCCAAAGGAAUUUUCGCCAUUCAUUUGUAUAGAGGCAGCUGCACACCCCCUCCCUUUCUUUCUGGUUUCUGCUUCUUGGUCAGGCUGUAAGCAAGGUGGGGGCCUUAAAAAUCUCUCCACCUGGGGGUGGGGGCAAGGUCUGCUUAGCACCAGCUUUGGACAGGUAGCAAUGGUUGCGCAGGGCCGUUCCAGAGGGUCAUCCUGGCUUUACGUGAUUUUGUAAGGAUAGCCAGGAGUGUAACCUCCACGUAAGAUGAGAUCUACCUAUAAUAAGGUGUUGGAUGGCCACAUCUCUUGGCUGAGACACCUUCCAAGCUCCGCUUAGUAGGAGCAGUAUGGGGUGGGGGGCAUUGCCUGGGAGCUGUCCAGGGUCCUGAUCUGCUUUGUGAUCUGCCCUCUUUGUCUUGUUUCCACUUCUCCUGGGAACCCCAGGGCAUUACCGUAACUGCUAUCAUGAAUGAAUAACACUUAUUAUGGACCAUGGACCACAGCAGAUUGAAACAAACAAACAAAAAACCCCAAGUGUCCAAUUCCCCCCCCCCAAAAAAGUGCAAAGGUUGCUCUAAAACGAAUAUAUAAAAUGUAUUAAUAUCCUUAGAAUAAACAGAACUUUUAAAACAGAUAAGCAUUGCUAUUGCAUAAAAAACAAAACCCAGCGCAAGAUCGGGUGGCAUUCAGGAAUUGUUUCCAGGACACAUUUCAUACUCUCAUUUUCUACUGCCAGUUUGCAGAAAUGGAGUCCCAAGAAUUUCCCUGUUAUCUGGUGGCCUUUGCUGCAAAUGAAGUCAAUGAAGGCG